GGUCAGGCCGGGCCUCUCCCUCCUCCCGCCCAGGGCUCCUGGCUGUCUGAGCCCUGACCUGGAGGACAGUGGCAGGAUGGGCCAGGGAGGCCCAGGGAGGGGCAGGGCAUCGCCCGAGGUCACCAGAGCCAGCAGCGCCCUCCCAGCCGUGGGAUUCUGAGCAAAGCCCCGCCCCGCUGGGCCUCAGUUUCCCCGGCCUGGGCGGGCGCGUUGGCAGCGCAGCGCUCCCGUCCUGCUCCGACCGGGUGGAUUCCAGUGCGGGUUUUGCGGGCGCCCGCGGCCACCGACACCUUCUUCCCAGUGCGGCCCGGGCUGCGGCCCCGGGUCCGAGGAGGCCCGGGGAGACCCGGAGGAGGUGGAAACUGAGACCCAGAGAGCCGUGACUUGACUGAUCCCACAGCCAGGAAAUGGUGGAGCCUGGAUUUGAACCCCAGCUUUUAAGAAGAAGGUGCCACUGUCCUGGAAGAACUCUCAGGACAGCAUUAGUGUCUCAGGGAUCCCCCUAAUCGGAGGGGCCUUAAGCCUAAUCAUGAUUGUCACUGAAGAUCCAGGAGGGCUUCCUGGAGGAGGAGGCAGCUCCAUUCUGAAAUGCCAAGGGUACAGCUUUAUUGGGACAGCCAGUGUCUCUGAAUAUGUAGGUUUUGCACAGAGCUUGUACUGCCCCAGGGCCUGUACACUGCCUGUCCCCUCUGCCUUGUGCACUCUUUCCCUAGAUGUCCAAAUGGCUCCUUUCCUCACCUACCCCAAAUCUCAAUUCCAGUGUUUCCCCAGCCUCCCCUCAUUUCAGUAAUCACUCUGCAGUGAGCUAGGAUUGCGCCACUGCACUCCAGCUUGGAUAAGAGAACAAGACCCUGUCUCUUAACUAAAUACAUAAAUAAAAAUAAUUCCCCUCUUCAUCCCUCUUUACCCUGUUUUGAUGGUUUUGUUCAACUUUUCACCAAUAGGACUUUCUCUUAUGCAUUUACUCGUUUCUCUUCCAAUCCCUCCC
rnacentral:lncRNA from 10 species